GACGAACGCUGGCGGCGUGCCUAAUACAUGCAAGUUGAGCGCUGAAGGUUGGUACUUGUACCAACUGGAUGAGCAGCGAACGGGUGAGUAACGCGUGGGGAAUCUGCCUUUGAGCGGGGGACAACAUUUGGAAACGAAUGCUAAUACCGCAUAAAAACUUUAAACACAAGUUUUAAGUUUGAAAGAUGCAAUUGCAUCACUCAAAGAUGAUCCCGCGUUGUAUUAGCUAGUUGGUGAGGUAAAGGCUCACCAAGGCGAUGAUACAUAGCCGACCUGAGAGGGUGAUCGGCCACAUUGGGACUGAGACACGGCCCAAACUCCUACGGGAGGCAGCAGUAGGGAAUCUUCGGCAAUGGACGAAAGUCUGACCGAGCAACGCCGCGUGAGUGAAGAAGGUUUUCGAAUCGUAAAACUCUGUUGGUAGAGAAGAACGUUGGUGAGAGUGGAAAGCUCAUCAAGUGACGGUAACUACCCAGAAAGGGACGGCUAACUACGU
rnacentral:rRNA from 1 species